GAGGUGUAAUGUUUAAAUAGGGCUGCUAACCUUAUUUGUAGCAGUUAAAAUCUGUUAACAUCUCU
rnacentral:tRNA from 1 species